UAUAAUAUGCAGAUAUUUAUAAUUAUAAUUUAUAAGUUAUCAUUAAGGGUUAAUUUGUUUGGCAGGGUGGAGGGUAGGAUUGAAUUUUUCUGCUUUAGGCUGCUCAUACAUAUUAGAGCAUAACUUUGGCUUAAUUUAAUUUAUUUGAGAUCAUUUGGCAAAUGUAAAGUACUUUUCUAAAAUCUUUUUUGGGAGCUCGAGAUUCAUUGAGUUUCUCACUUAGAGAUGUUUCUGACAUUAUUUAUUGAUCACACUUUAAUCAGAACAGAUGGAUUAUUCAUCGCUUGUACUUUGUUUAUUUGAUAUUUUAGGUGUUGGGGACUUUCAUCACUGAAUGGGAUGAGUGAAAGGCUAAUUGUGAUAUACUGCUUUCAACAAAGGAGUCUGCACGAAUGUAUGUAGAAUGUCUGGCAGAGCUUGCUGUUCAUUUAGGCUUCGAUGGGUGGCUAGCUUUAAGAAUAGAGCCAUAAGAUACAUGUGUUAAAAGAUUGACUAGUUCUAUAUCACAAUAUAUGGUUUGGUACUUCUUUCUACAAUUGAUAUCUUUUGUACAUAUGCUCCAGGUCUUGAUCUGUCAUUCCAGUGGAAUAAUUGAUUAAAUUAAUAAGAAAUUAUUAAGUGUAAUUAUUACUUGUUUUGAUCAUUUUGGUUUUGUAGAUUUGGCUCCAAAGCAUAUGAAUCUUUUGAGUAUAUUGUUUCAAAAGUGCCCAGUCUAAGGCUUCAUGAGCAAUCAACGUACACCCAACAAAAUGGAGUUCAAGCCAGUUUUUUAGUUGACAGUUUUUGCCCUCGACGUUGGAUCGCUUAUAAGUUGCCUGUCUUGGUGUUUUCUGGUGGUGUUGCGGCUGCUUUUGUCCUCUUGCUAUGUGCAGCGACAUUGCAUUUUUGCUGCUAGUUUUUUAUUUUUAUUUUGUUGUAAUGUCCUAUAUUGUUUAUGAGAUUUGUAACUAGUUUUUGGAUCAAUAUAUGUUUUGGCCAUUUAGUCUUUUAUGAUUCUAGUGUUAUAGUCCAGUCAAUAUGGAGUCUUUGUUUGUAUAUGUUUUGGCCACUUAGUCUUAUGUGAUUCUAGUGUCAAUAUUAGUGACUAGAUUGUGUUGUAACAAAUGGAUUGUGACUAUGUAUUUGAUUAUGAUUAAUGAAAAUCAAAGGUAUUUAUUUUUUAAAUUCCAG